AUGAGUGGACAAAAAUUUCUUGUUAAACCUUGGUUGCUUCAUGAAUUCACCGAGGAUUUCUACGGGGAAGAACUACGGCUGGUUAUAGUUGGUUACAUACGUCCCGAGGAAAGUUUUCCAUCCCUUGAAAGCUUGAUUGCUAAGAUUCAUGAAGAUCGCAGAGUUGCUGAGAGAGCUCUUGAUCUUCCCAUGUAUUCACGUCAUAAGAAUGAUUCGUAUUUGAGAAAAUCAUAG